CCUACGUGAGGCAGCAGUGGGGAAUAUUGCACAAUGGGGUAAACCCUGAUGCAGCGACGCCGCGUGAGUGAAGAAGUAAUUCGUUAUGUAAAGCUCUAUCAGCAGGGAAGAAAAUGACGGUACCUGAGUAAGAAGCACCGGCUAAAUACGUGCCAGCAGCCGCGGUAAUACGGAGGGGGCAAGCGUUAUCCGGAUUUACUGGGUGUAAAGGGAGCGUAGACGGCAGUGCAAGUCUGGAGUGAAAGGCGGGGGCUCAACCCCCGGACUGCUCUGGAAACUGGACGGCUGGAGUGCAGGAGAGGUAAGUGGAAUUCCUAGUGUAGCGGUGAAAUGCGUAGAUAUUAGGAGGAACACCAGUGGCGAAGGCGGCUUACUGGACUGUAACUGACGUUGAGGCUCGAAAGCGUGGGGAGCAAACAGGAUUAGAUACCCUUGUAGUC
rnacentral:rRNA from 1 species